AAGGAUGUGGGCAGACAUUCCUGGAAGAACAUUCUGCAUAGUCACCAGUCUUGGUAACUCCGGCCGUCAAGACCCAUCUCAACUCUGGUCAGAGGUAGCUCUCCCCUGGACCCAUCUUGUGCCUGUCUACUUCACACCCAGCCUUGGACACUGCAGUUUUGCUUUAAGAUCUCGGUAAAAACAGGAGCUAAGGUUUCUAGUAUCUUCUUUCCUGCUAUGUCAUUUUGAAAUUGAAACCGAAAGCCAGGAGAGAAUUCAGAGCUGCUCAAAGCAGGCUUGUUAGCAUCUUCAAGUCGUUUUUCUUGGAGAGACCUCAUUGAGAAAAUUAUCUGUUUCUUUAGUAGCUUUGACUUCCAAGUGCAGGAUGGCAGCCGCUUCCCAGGAUCAGAUUCUAGGACAUCUGCCUGUAACCAGAGCCAGGCUUCCAGCCCGUGCGCUGCUUCGGGGUCUGCGUUGCACUGAACCUUUUGACUGAAGGAGUUUUAUUAAUGACAUCAAG
rnacentral:lncRNA from 1 species